AGGCCCCAUGCCACGUAGUUGGUCUCUGCCCCAGGAUUUCUGAGAUUCCCAUGGUGGUGAAGUCCCUGCUCUCCUCUCUCACUUCCGGCUCCCUGGGACUGUAGGUGGCCCUGUGUCAGACCUGCCUCCUGGAGUGCAGACCCUCUCUCGCUCCAUUUGCCCCUGCUAGUGUCUGAUCCUCAUUCUCUUUCUCUUUUAGAGUCCCUGGUGCACCACUUUCAGGAAGCUACCAGUUAUGACAUCCUUCCAAGAAAGGCUUUGGGAUACAGAUUAUCAUGGCAGGCACAGAGCAGUCACAGGUCCUCUAGGCAAAGAGAGAAAGACCAGAUGAGACCAGGAAGCCUAGAGAGACUCAUUAUCAGGAAGAUUUUCCCACU
rnacentral:lncRNA from 1 species